GUGACAUGGGACUUUCGGUUCAGAGAAGAAGACAAUCAUAGAGAUAAAUUUCAGACAUGAAGAUCUGAUUCAAUUUGCUUCCUCCUUUGGAUAACUAUGUUGCUGUCAGUGUUUCAAAUACACAUGCCUGAUUCUUCAUCUCCUUUUCUUUAAAGACUUAUGCAAGUGUAUCUCUGCUCAAAUAAAGAAGCACAAUUAUCAUUGCUUUUACUUUCUAAAAGUUGAAACUAUGGAUGAAAAGAGAUUAGUAUUUUUCUCCAAACCAGAAAGCUGGAAAUGAAAGCAAUUGCACAGUUUUAUGCAUGGGAGUAAUUGCAUGUGAAGUUAGAAGUAUUAUUCUGGCAACGAUGUGGAGAAGAUGAACUAAUAUAUACUCAGAGGUUUUACAAUGAUCACCUUCCUGGGAUGCCUUGGAGUUGUGAGAAGUAACAAAAGAGAAAUGCAAAUGAGGGAAAGGGAAUUAACAUCUGAACAGACAUGUUGUCCUUGCACUUUAUAUUCAGCAUGUUAUUAAUUCCAGUAAUGAUGCAGAGGGUUUAAGAUUACAUUUUCCAUUUUAUCACAAAGAACCAAAGGCUUAGAGAUUUUAAAUGACCUGUGUAUGUCACAUAGCUGGAACGUCAUGAAUUUGGGACCAAAUCUAUGUCCUUUCACAACCAAAGUUUAUUUCACUAUGGUCUCAUAGUGAAUGCCUGGGCUGCUUUAAUAAAAAGAAUAUAUUACUCACAGUUUCAGAAUCUGACAAGUCCCAGAUCAAGGCACUAGUGUCUGAUGAGAGCCUGUUCCUUACAGAUUGUCCCUUCUAUGUGUCCCCACAAAGCACAAAGAAGAAAACAGACUCCUUGCCUUUUUCUUAAAGAUACUAAUUCCAUUCACGAGGAUAGAGACCUUAUGAGCUACACACCUCCUAAAAAGCCCACCUUUUAAUAUCACCACAGUGGGAAUUAGUUUCAAAACGAAUUUCAGAACAUUGAAACCAUUGCAACUAUGUCAUGACAUCUAAACAAUUCUCUAAUCUUAAGAAAGGUGCUAAACCUUGCAAAACUAGUGAGAAGGAUGCAAAAACGCUGCAUGUGUGUGUUUCACAAACUUUAACGCGUAUUCCAUUACAGAAAUAUCCUCCAGGUUGACAGCAAUAAGAACUUUCUUCUAGUGCUCUCUUUUGACUUGAUUUAGUCCAGUCGGCUUUAUCGUUUUAAUGUCACUGCUGCUGUAACUGUGAAGUGGCCGCUCUGUUUCCACACUUACCCAUGCAAGCUUUCCCUGGUCUUUUUAGCUCAAGUGAAAACUCGUUCAUUUCUUUUUCUACUAAACCACCAACCAAAAUGUAUUCUAUUUAUUAAAAAAUUUUAUCAUCAUAAG